UCUAUUUGUCUUAGGUGAGCUAAAUGUGUGCUGGGACAUUUGGCUCAAAUGUGUCCCAGUACACAUUUAGCUCACAUAAGAAAAAUGAACUCUAGU
rnacentral:miRNA from 1 species